UACGGGGGGAGCAAGCGUUGUUUGGAUUUACUGGGCGUAAAGGGCGCGUAGGCGGCCACCGCAAGUCGGUUGUGAAAUCUCCGGGCUUAACCCGGAAAGGUCAACCGAUACUGCGGGGCUAGAGUGCAGAAGGGGCAACUGGAAUUCUCGGUGUAGCGGUGAAAUGCGUAGAUAUCGAGAGGAACACCUGCGGCGAAGGCGGGUUGCUGGGCUGACACUGACGCUGAGGCGCGAAAGCUAGGGGAGCGAACGGG
rnacentral:rRNA from 1 species